ACCUACGGGGGGCAGCAGUGGGGAAUAUUGCACAAUGGGGGAAACCCUGAUGCAGCGACGCCGCGUGAGUGAUGAAGUAUUUCGGUAUGUAAAGCUCUAUCAGCAGGGAAGAUAAUGACGGUACCUGAGUAAGAAGCCCCGGCUAACUACGUGCCAGCAGCCGCGGUAAUACGUAGGGGGCAAGCGUUAUCCGGAAUUACUGGGUGUAAAGGGAGCGUAGACGGCAAUGCAAGUCCGGAGUGGAAUGCGGCAGCUCAACUGCCGAACUGCUCUGGAAACUGUAUGGCUUGAGUGCAGGAGGGGUA
rnacentral:rRNA from 1 species